rnacentral:rRNA from 1 species
AGUACGGCGAGUGAAGCGGGAAGAGCUCAAAUUUGAAAUCUUCAAGGUUCUACCUUGACGAAUUGUAGUUUAUAGAAGUGUUUUCUGUUAGUGGAGUGGCAAAAGUUCUUUGGAAUAGGACAUCAUAGAGGGUGAGAAUCCCGUAUUUGGUCAUUCCUCCUAGCGUUGUGAUACACUUUCAACGAGUCGGAUUGUUUGGGAAUGCAGUCCAAAAUGGGUGGUAAAUUUCAUCUAAAGCUAAAUAUUGGCGAGAGACCGAUAGCGAACAAGUACCGUGAGGGAAAGAUGAAAAGAACUUUGAAAAGAGAGUUAAACAGUACGUGAAAUUGUCAAAAGGGAAGCGUUUGACACCAGUGUUGUUUUUCCGAAAAUCAAUUACGAAUGUUUUAUUUUUGAGGAGUUAUGACUUCAUCGGCUUGCUCCUUUCUUUAUGAAACUUUCUUAAUGCACUUUUCGGUUAACAAGUCAACAUCAAUUUCUUUUGUUGUAAAAGGGUAUGAGGAAGGUGGCUUUCUUUUCGGAGAAAGUGUUUAUAGCCUUGUGCCUCUGCAAUCGGAGAGAUUGAGGUCUGCAGCGUAGAUCCUUCGGGGUUAGAUACGUUUGUGCUAAGUUAUAGCUUUUCAUAGACAACUUGUUGACUAUGUUUAGUCUUGUAGCUUACUCGCUGACGCUAUUUUACCUACGCUUAGGAUGUUGACAAAAUGGUUUUAAACGACC